rnacentral:lncRNA from 1 species
GAAUGCCUGAGUUCGCCUCUUCAAAAUGGGAGCUGUUUCUUCUGCAGAAGUUUGGAUGUCAUGUUUUAAAUUCUAAAAACCUCUUCUGCGACCUUGUGCAGGUCGAUCUUGGCCCACGACUGUAAAUGGAAAACCAAAAGUGUCGGUGGCGGUGUUCUCUGUCAGAGAAACAGCAAAAGUACUAUCGCACAACGAAACAUUGCACAACUGAAGCAUCGCCUGUGCCUCAUGCUGCUGUUUCAUCAAAGAUCAAGGUCAUCGCCCUUGGAGGGACUUUAUUCAUGGCAGCAUGGUUCGAGUUCCACACGGAGAAUCCUGAAGCUAAUUCUUCCAAGGCAGAGCGGGACAUGCUGAAAGUUAUCAGAAGGCCGAAAGAAUAAAUCGGUGGUUCAUCUGCAUGUACAACCAUCGUCAAGUGUUA